rnacentral:rRNA from 1 species
UACGGGGGGAGCAAACGUUGUUCGGAAUCACUGGGCUUAAAGGGCGCGUAGGCGGGUGCUCAAGUCCGGGGUGAAAUCCUCCAGCUCAACUGGAGAACUGCCUCGGAUACUGGGUGCCUCGAGGGUGGUAGGGGUAUGCGGAACUAUCGGUGGAGCGGUGAAAUGCGUUGAUAUCGAUAGGAACUCCGGUGGCGAAGGCGGCAUACUGGACCACAUCUGACGCUGAGGCGCGAAAGCCAGGGGAGCAAACGGG